CUUCUCCGUAACUUUUUAAUGUACCAGAAAAUCAAACGAAAAACCAACUCCGCCUGCAAAGCAAUCCGAUUCCAAUACCUCUCUCUCUCCCUCCCCUCCGUGAUGCCCAGAACCCUAACCCUCCCCCGCUUCUCGGCCCUCGUCUUAAUCCUCUCCGUUUUACUCAACGUCUACUUCCUCUUCUUCUUCCUCCACGCGCCGCCCACCGUUCUCUCCCGCUACACUUCCUCUCCCACCACGCGCCGCCACCUUGUAUUCGCCAUCGCUUCCUCCUCCGCUCCUGGUCCCGCCGUGAGCCUUACCUCCGCCUCUGGUGCUCCCCCGCCUCCACCCGCGUCUUCGCUUUCCUCGACCGCGCCCCAACAGAUCCCUCCGGCGACCGAUCCGUCGCGACUGUCGUCGUCUCUGGCGACACCUCCCGCUUUCCGUACACUCUAAAAGGAGGGCUGCGGUCCGCGAUCCGUGUGGCGCGCGCGGUCAAGGAAGUCGUCGAUCGUGGCGAGCCGGAUGUGAGGUGGUUCGUGUUCGGCGACGACGAUACGGUGUUCUUCGUCGAGAAUCUGGUGAGGACGCUAUCGAAGUACGAUCACGAUCGGUGGUUUUACGUCGGGAGCAACUCGGAGAGCUAUCAGCAGAAUGCCAAGUACUCGUUCGAAAUGGCGUUCGGGGGCGGAGGGUUCGCCAUAAGCCAUUCGCUGGCUACGGCUCUGGCUAGGGUGUUCGACUCGUGCUUGAUGAGGUACGGUCACUUGUACGGAAGCGAUGCUCGGGUUUUCGCAUGCGUGGCGGAGCUCGGCGUUGGGUUGACCCAUGAGCCUGGGUUUCAUCAGGUCGAUAUGCGGGGGAAUUUGUUUGGAAUGCUAUCUGCACACCCAUUGUCACCUCUGGUGUCCCUUCAUCAUUUGGAGGCUGCAGAUCCAAUCUUCCCAAACAUGAACAAGACUCAAGCUUUGGAACAUCUUUUUGAAGCUGUGAAUGUUGAUCCUGCCAGGAUAUUGCAGCAAACUGUUUGCUAUGACAGUUCGCAUUCGUUGACUGUUUCUGUUGCAUGGGGCUAUGCUAUUCAGGUGUAUGCUGGCAAUGAACUCCUCUCAGAUCUCCUUUCACUGCAGAAAACGUUUAUGCCAUGGAGGAGGAGUGGUAGUAUCGAGGCAAGUCAGUUCAUGUUCAAUAUGAGAGAUAAUCCUAGAGAUAAAUGUAAAAGACCAACUGUCUUUUUCCUGGAAAGUGUCGUAUCCAAUAGUCAUGGUAGCUCGAGUAACUACACCAGGCUCAAUGUAGAAAAUUGCUCCAAAGCAGAUGCAAUAAAGAAUCUGGAACAGAUCAGAGUGUUCUCACAGAAGCUAGAGCUUGAUGCGGAUGAGCUGAAGGCUCAACGCCGUCAGUGCUGCGAAAUUUUGCAGUCGUUUGAUGACUCCAUGACUAUAAACAUUAGACGGUGCAGAGACAAUGAGUUGAUAUCCAUGAAUAUCUAGAGUUUUCUGUUGGAAUGGUUGCUCUGAGGAUACUUAGUUAGAUGCAGAAUUCAGAGAAUCACACGCAUUUUGGUGUACUCAUCAUCUUAUCAAGGGGGAGGAAGAAGAGAAUAUACUUGGAGAUGGGCUAUUUAUCUUCUGAUCUAAACAUGGAGCAAAAAUAAUGCUUCUGGAACGAUUUCCUUGAAAACAAUAAAUCACAAGAAAAAGAUUGCAGAAAGGGGAAGUUACUGCAAAAAUCUGCCGCCAGUUAAGGUUUCGAUGUCUGAUACUCUUGGUUAAACUCUCCAGUGGCUUAUUAUUUGAAAAUAUGAUGAACAGACAAAAAGGGAGGACAACACCAUUCACACGUCCGCUAGUGGAGAUGACCCGAGUAAAUUGGAUAUCCGGAGGAAUGAACGGUAACUAGUGAUCUGAUAGGUAUGUAAUGUAUUCAUGCUGUAGAGUAACUUGCGUUUUGAGACAUCAAAUGAUGAGGAAGAGCUUUGAUUGGUUGGUAAGCCUGCGAAGGAAAUAUUUUUGAAAUGCUAGCUGCGUUUUCAUUCCUGCAUUUAGCAUGUUUUGCUGAUGCCAUAGAUGAUAAAUUGUAUAGGGUCUGGUUUUGUAGUUUUCGAGCGGGGUGAAUGCCGUACUUGGUUUCUUGCCAACCAUCCAUUGUCUUCCUCCUCCUUGGCCUAAACCAUUGAAGUCUAAUGCAUGUGCAUCCCUUGAAUCUUCCA